GACGAACGCUGGCGGCGUGCCUAAUACAUGCAAGUUGAGCGCUGAAGGUUGGUACUUGUACCAACUGGAUGAGCAGCGAACGGGUGAGUAACGCGUGGGGAAUCUGCCUUUGAGCGGGGGACAACAUUUGGAAACGAAUGCUAAUACCGCAUAAAAACUUUAAACACAAGUUUUAAGUUUGAAAGAUGCAAUUGCAUCACUCAAAGAUGAUCCCGCGUUGUAUUAGCUAGUUGGUGAGGUAAAGGCUCACCAAGGCGAUGAUACAUAGCCGACCUGAGAGGGUGAUCGGCCACAUUGGGACUGAGACACGGCCCAAACUCCUACAGGAGGCAGCAGUAGGGAAUCUUCGGCAAUAGACGAAAGUCUGACCGAGCAACGCCGCGUGAGUGAAGAAGGUUUUCGGAUCGUAAAACUCGGUUGGUAGAGAAGAACGUUGGUGAGAGUGGAAAGCUCAUCAAGUGACGGUAACUACCCAGAAAGGGACGGCUAACUACGUG
rnacentral:rRNA from 1 species